ensembl:piRNA 21ur-7521 ncRNA
UAAUAUGUAUUCCUCGAGUAU